rnacentral:rRNA from 1 species
UACGUAGGGUGCGAGCGUUAAUCGGAAUUACUGGGCGUAAAGCGUGCGCAGGCGGUUCGUUAAGUUCGUCGUGAAAGCCCCGGGCUCAACCUGGGAACUGCGAUGGAAACUGGCGGGCUUGAGUAUGGCAGAGGGGGGUGGAAUUCCGCGUGUAGCAGUGAAAUGCGUAGAGAUGCGGAGGAACACCGAUGGCGAAGGCAGCCCCCUGGGCCAAUACUGACGCUCAGGCACGAAAGCGUGGGGAGCAAACAGG